GUAUCCUGUCAUUGACAGUGUCGCCGUGGACGGGGAUGUCGAACACGGCACAGACUAUGUCGACGUAUUGUGACAGCGAGCAGUCGACGCUGGCGGGGGGCACGCCGACCUCGUUCAAGUUGACUUGGCGCUGGUGGUCUUGGAGAUGGCUCUCAGUUGGAGAUGGAGUAACGCAGCAUCGCUUUGGUCCGCGGACGGUUCAUCCAACACCGUCAGACCUAUUACAAUUAAUAUAUUUGCUCGACACUAUGAAAUACAUAUAUUAUUUUAAUGAAUGAGUUGUUAGCUAGAAUUUUGCGUACGUAAUUGAAUAAACAAGUGCAACAGAUUAUAUAUAUAAUUAGGCUUAGUAAAACAAAUCCAUGCCGAAUGACAUACACGGAAUAAAGAAGAAAUAAUAUUUUUAAAAACAACUCACAACUGAAAUAUAUAUAAAUAAAUAUAUUAAUGAAAACGA